rnacentral:tRNA from 2 species
GGGCCCGUGGGUUAGUUUGGCUAUGCUAGGAGCUUUGGGAGCUUUUGACUCCGGUUCAAAUCCGGACGGGCCCA